AGAGACAUUGUAUUUACUAUGCAACUGGUAAAGAAUAAAAAUAAAAAAAUAAAAAAGAAAGAGGAGGCAGAAUAAACCUACCCCAUGUACACCUCAGACUAGGCCAUUGUGCCCGGUCUGUAUUGUGAAUGGGGAGACAUGG
ensembl:snoRNA